UGAAGUCACACUUUUAACCCACUUCUAACCAAACUCUCUCACUCAUUGGUUCAGCUCCUUCGUAUCAAUCUGCAGCAGAAACAAACCUCGCGACAAAUCAGACACAUAUCGCGUCAAUCUGCAGAAACAAAGCUUCUUCUUCGAUUCUUAGAGUCUUAGACCGAUAUCAGGUGGUGGUCGACGGCGAUGACCCAGUGGUGUUCGACGGAGACGGCCCAGUGGUGACCCAGGUGGUGGUUCGAUGGCGACGACCCAAUGGUGAACCCAGGUGGUGGUGCGCCGACAAAAAGUGGAUGGGGGUUUGAUCUCUAAGUUUGGGGUUAUAGGGUUUCUCUUGUAAUCCAAAGUUGUACCCUUCUAAUUGCAAGGGUUCUGAAAUUUAUAAAAGUUCUAACGAUUGAAUAAAAAUUGCACAAUUUGUGCAUAUCAGUUCUUGGAU